GGGGAUUUGGCUCAGUGGUAGAGUGCUUGCCUUGCAAGCACAAGGCCCUGGGUUCGGUCCCCAGCUCCG
rnacentral:tRNA from 1 species